UCCGAGUGGUGCGAACGUUGUUCGGAAUUACUGGGCAUAAAGAGCACGUAGGCGGUCUGGUAAGUCUGCUGUGAAAUCCCCCGGCUCAACCGGGGAACUGCAGUUGAUACUGCUGGGCUAGAGUGCGGGAGGGGAGAGCGGAAUUCCUGGUGGAGCGGUGAUAUGCGUAGAUAUCAGGAGGAACGCCGGAGGCGAAAGCGGCCCUCUGGUCCGUAACUGACGCUGAGGUGCGAAAGCUAGGGGAGCGAACAGG
rnacentral:rRNA from 1 species